rnacentral:piRNA from 1 species
CACAUCAGUGUAAGGUAGAAUGGCCUUG